rnacentral:rRNA from 1 species
UACAGAGGGUGCGAGCGUUGUCCGGAAUCACUGGGCGUAAAGAGCGUGUAGGCGGCCUGAAAGGUCAGCUGUGAAAACUCGAGGCUCAACCUCGAGACGUCGGUUGAAACCAUCUGGCUAGAGUCCGGAAGAGGAGUGUGGAAUUCCCGGUGUAGCGGUGAAAUGCGCAGAUAUCGGGAAGAACACCCGUGGCGAAGGCGGCACUCUGGGACGGUACUGACGCUGAGACGCGAAAGCGUGGGGAGCGAACAGG